CCUAUCUAUCACAGGUUGUUGAGAGAUCGGCCAUAAAAUUAUACCUAUUCUCUGUUUGUGUCUAAUAUACAACUUUGACGGAUGCUGUUUUUAUUAGCCUUUAUAAAGUGAAUCAAGGGCUGAGUUUACACAUGUAUGUUUAUUGUUCAGGAGCUGCAACUUCAUCUGAUGACAUGCCAGUGAGAAAUAGCAGACCAAGAUCAAAUACUGUGGGAGAAACAACUACCAAAACAAACCAGAAUGAAGGAGAAAAGUGAUAGCGUCACCAAUAAGGCAUUAAAGAAAUUGAAAAAGAAGACGACUAGAAAGGGGAAUUCCAAGUACGGAAACCAAAGCAGAAUACCUUUAAAAUGCACAAAUACAUACAAUUUUUUUUUUCUGGACCGCUUCCAAAUGCCAUGAUCUUUCGUUAUCGUGCACCAGAAAAAUGAGCAAGAAAGAAGCUGUACAGACCUCUGCCUUCUGUCCUCAACAGAAAAAUUAAUAAUGAUGAGUAUCAUGAUAAAAUUCCCAUUAUGUAGUAGGUAAAUGUGGGGAAGGGAGUUUGACAGUGGGUGGUCAAAUUUAUAUUUUUAAAGGGUUAUAUUUUAUAAGUGUUUCCUGGCAACUUGCCAGAAUUAUUUUCUUUUAAAAAAAAUAGAUAACUGAAUGUAUAAAACCCACCUUUAUUUCACUCCCUCUUUUUUUAAAAAAAAAACAUGUUAGAAUCACACACCUUGAAUUGUGAUCAGGGAUCAGAAUAUUACUUCUGUACAGAAAUGUCCGUGGUUUUCCAAUUAAGACUUCUGGAAUCAAUAAACGAAUAAAUAGAAA